UUCUUUGUAGAAUAUGUUACUAUUAUUUGGGUUUUUGUUCUCUGCAUAACUGUCUCUUUCACCUAUAUUAAUUCCUCAGCAUUCAAGAUGUUUGUAGGGUCCUCACCUCAGCUACCUCUCACAAGGUGCCCCUGAAAAAGAAAUUCAAGACGUUUGGGUCCUCAGCUCAACUGACCAAGACCUUUGCUCAUUGAAGGCAUGAAGUAAUUUGUGAUGCCCCCACGAUUGCAGUUUUUAAAUCCAGAUGGCUUGCUCUUUUUAACAUGUGCGAGAGCUGGAUGGUCUUUCAACAACACUGCUCCGGGUCUUCAGCAAGAAAGGUGCUUCUCAUGCAAGGAAGAUACAGAGGAUCCUGGUGCCCAUGACUCAGACUGACAACAUUGAUGUGAAGAGGGAGUGCAUGCUGAGGAGCUGACGGUCUACCUGAAUGAAGAGCCAGACAAAGUGGAUGUUGAUCUGGACGGUCCAGCUGAAACGUAUUGUCUUCGUGUGCGUGUGAUCGGCAGAGAGUCCUCAACGACAUUGGUAACGUACCUGUGGCCAUUGCAGUGUUUGUUUUGGUUUAUGCUCUUAAUCUCUGUUACCUUCCAGAAUGGAAGUACACUUUCAAAUUUCUGUUUCAUUCUAACCGUCUGUUUCAUCAGUUUUUGCACUGCUUUUAAAUGUACACUGUGUAAGAUUCUUAGUUGUUUAUUUCCAGAAUUCAUGCUACCCAUUCACUAAUGUUACCUUUUUCAUGAAUACUUAGC